rnacentral:misc_RNA from 1 species
UAUAUAUAUAUAUAUAUAUAUUGAAACGAGAGAAUGAGAUGAAUGAGUUUGAUAUUACAAUUCUAAACGAAGAAAAUUAAUUAGAUUCCAGCUCACUGAAACUAUAUUAUUUUCAAGCAAGAUAUAAAUUGAAGUAACCCAUAUCAAAGACGUACCCAAACAUCCACUAGCAUGGAUCAUUUGCAUUUCUCUGCCAUUCCCUCUCUUGCUGUCUUGGCUUCUUUGCCCUUUUCAGUCUCAUAAUGAUGAUGAUGAAUAUGCUAGGCAAGCUUUAUUUGGUCUUCCUUGAAUCAAUCCUCCCGUUUUACCUUGAAACGAUCCUUUAUUCAACAACAAAUUAAUAAAUAAAUUGAAAUAAGUGAUUGCCAUCUUAACGAAAAGUGUUUUGUGAAGAAGAUUAAGGGAAAAAUAAGGGAUAACAGAACGAGGAUGACAAUGAAAUUUUCUGGACAAUAAGAAAUGGAAGGGAAGGGAAGGGAAGGAAAAUGUAACUCAAAGUGAAGAAUUAAGGUUGUCAGGGUUUCAACUCAGUGUUAGAUAUAUUGUUUGAGCUUCUGAACAUAUUUAGGUAUGUAUGGUACGUUUUGGGAACCUAAGGAUGUUGCUGAGACUACUAAACCAUGGCCAAAAAAGUGGGUGUUCCGUUUUCUCCCCCAUUAGAUCUAGAGGCGUUUGUGUUCUGCCUCUGAAAUUCUAUCUUGUAAGCCAUCUUCCUCUCUUCUUGCGGCCGUUCAUCAUAUUCAUCACCAUCGUCGUCGUCGUCAUCCUCUUCAUUGCCACCAACGACUUCGACACCAUCUUCAUCAUCCUCAGUGUUAUCGCUAUCAUCACCUUCGUCCAUUUUCUCGCAUUCAUGCAACAUCAACUGUUUUUGCUGUUGUCUUUGCAUCCCCUGCAGUUUUAUAAACUCUUUCACGAUGUCUUCUUCUGUGCUGAUCCUCCAUUUCCUUCUCCAAAGAGGCUUCCAGGCAAAACAGUAUUGACAUCUGCACCACCCCCUAUUUUAGUUUGUGACUCAGAGGUUUGUGCCAGCACCGUGGCCGAGACCUCACUCCUACUUUCGGGCUUUGUAGGUGGAAGCGGAUCCGAUGUCAUGCUUUCCUGCUGCUGCUGUUCUUCUGGCCUAUUCAGGUUGGCAAAGCCACUACUGGUAGUGCUAUAACCGCCACCACCUCCGCUACUGCUGCCAAGUAUCUUUUUUCUGUAAAGUGCAUCUAGUUCGUGAAAAUAGGGGCAGGUCUUGGCAUCUUCAGGGCGUUUCUUAUUACUUUCCUUGACCUUCUUGAAGUACUUGUUGAUGUUCUCCCAUUUUUCCUUGCAUCUCUUGGAACUCCUCUUGUAACCCAUCCGAUGCAUCCCAGCGGAGAUUUCUUCCCAAAGUGGGCCCUUGGGCCCCGCCUCUUGAUAUCUGGAAUCAAGCCCACUCCUCAACUUUAUAAGUGCUAGUACUUCUGCUUUUGGCCAUCUUGAGGAGGUAGGUUCAAGGCUCCCAAUAUUGCCAAUUUCCUGCGGUGGUACCUCUUGUUCUGGGACGACUGUCAUUGCUACUUCCGAGGAAAUAGAUGAUUGUUGAUGAUGAACUUGUUGGUGCUGCUGUUGUUCAUAUUGCUGGGGCAAUGCUGCUGAGUGUGGUUGCGCUUGCGGUUGUGGGGCUGGUGGCUGUUGGAUUGAGACAGUGACUACGGGUGCCAAUGACACAGGUUGCGGUUGUGGUGGGGGUGCUGGUUGUGGGACUGCUGCAAUUGUUACAGGUGAAGGCAAUUGGAUGGUUUGGCCAGUAAUUUUCUGUAGAAAGGCAAUUAUUGCAGCAUCUCUAGAAGCAUAACUGGCCCGCUCUUGAGCCACAAGCUCUUGCUCGCGGUUCUGUCUGGCAAUUUCUUGUCUUUUCCAGGCUUCCUCCCUUAUCAUCCGGUCAUGUUCUCUCUUCUCUAUGGCCUCCAGGAAUCUCUGCUGCAUGGCCUCUUGCUUUUGCAUAACAUGUUUCAUGAGACCCUCAAAAGACUCCAUCAUUCGGCGAGUGCCUCCUUUAGAAGAAUGCCUUUUACGUUUGCGGCUUGGACCUGCGGCAAUGUUGGAUGGCUUAUCAUCAUCAUAAUCAUCCUCAUCAUCCUCUUGAGAGCUGGCAGAAGAAGAAGAGCCAUUUGAAGUGGAGGAGAAGCUGAUUCCUGCUGACGGCCGAGGUGGUGCAGCAACAGCAGGCGCCAUGGUUACGGUCAAAUCUGGAGGAAACAUGGUGGAUGAGGAAGACAUGCCGACAGUUGAAGGUGGAAGUCUAACGGAUAAGACAGGCAUAGGGAUCCCAAUGGAAACAGGAGCAACAUCUAGGGAAGUUAUGGUGGUAGCUAUUGGUUGAGAAGCUGUGACAAGAUUGAGUGUUGUAGUUGAAGUGUUACUGCUGGAGUUAUGUAGAGCCUCCAGUUGGCUGAAAAACCUGUAGCUUUUCCCAUCUUGACGACCAGCUCGUCCUUCCUUGGUUCGCUUGUAAUACUUGUCCACGUUCUCAAAUUUUUCUCUGCAUUUCUUGGCACUUCUCUUGUAUCCCAGCUCCGCCAGCUUCCUGGAAACAUCUUCCCAGAGGGGA